rnacentral:lncRNA from 1 species
UGCGUUGUCCAUGCCGCGUGGUCGUCCCCAACAGGUUGUUGUUGUUGUUUCCUCCAUUUUCGGACAUCUUGAUGAUUAUCUAAUGUCUGGUUUUGUUGCUGGUAGUGGAAUCAAGAUAAUGUUAUAUAGGAGGGACUUAGUGGUUUAGAUUCGUUGAGGUUGUGUAUGUGAUAGGAAUCUGGAAUCUUACUGAGGAGGUGUGCUUGAGCUUAGUAUUGAGAGUUUGAGUAGAUUAGUGCACAUGGUGGAUCAUCUUGGGUAGCAGUAGGAAACAAUGAGUUAUAUAUCAUUCAACAUACCAAGAGUACACUCAAUCAUGUUUCAGUCUUAUUGAUAAAAUCAAUGUUCAAAAAAUUGCUAGACAGUCAGUAAGCGAUUUUAUUUUCGGAAAAUUGAUUCGCUUAUGAUUGAUUUGCCGCUUAGGCGAGAACCUUGCCGCCACGUAUACAAAUUUUUAGAACACUGGAUAAAACUAUACAAGCAUGGGCAAAAUAUCUAAAACCUAAAGUCCAAACCCGAACAGAAGAAACAUAAUGUAUAUAAGGUAUGAGAUGUAAAAAUACCCGAAUAAAUACUGUAGGGUUGUAUACAAUAUAUAUGAACCCGAAAUGUUAUCAACCGAAUUUGACAGUAACCAAAAGACUAAAAAUCCGGAAAAAAUGGAAAAAACCCCAAGCCAAAGAUCCAAAAUACAUAUUUGAAACGUGCAUAAUUACCUUAAACACUCAAUUUCUUGUUCAACUAUAGGUCUAAUUUUCGAGGCUAGAGCAUAUCUUGGUUGUGUAUUACAAUUAUACACUUAAGCCUUUACUCUCAGUAUCUGGCUUUUGAUAUGAUGAUUCAAACUUUAAUUUUAGGGUUACCGUUUAUUUUUGAGUUUACAGGAUUACCAGCAGAGACAUUGAUCGACAGGUACGUGACAGUGGGUGCAUACAGUCUUCUGAGAUCAUGUACCAUCGAACCAGAGUGCAUCAUCGGGCAACAUUCAAUACUAAUGGAAGGUUCGCUGGUUGAGACCCGCUCAAUCCUGGAAGCUGGUUCGGUUGUGCCACCAGGAAGAAGAAUCCCAUCAGGUGAACUAUGGGGAGGCAAUCCAGCAAGGUUUAUUAGAACGCUAACUAACGAAGAAACCUUAGAGAUCCCGAAACUCGCUGUAGCUAUCAACCAUUUAAGCGGAGAUUACUUCUCUGAGUUCUUGCCUUACUCCACUGUCUACUUAGAGGUAGAGAAGUUCAAAAAGUCACUUGGAAUCACUGUUUAGAGUCUCCUAGAAGCUUCUAUUAUUGGUUUCGUGUGCUUGCCUGUUGUAUGAGACCUCU